ACGGUCCUAAGGUAGCGAAAUUCCUUGUCAGGUAAGUUCUGACCCGCACGAAAGGCGUAACGAUUUGGGCGCUGUCUCAGCUGUAGACUCGGUGAAGUCUUAGUACCUGUGAAGAUGCAGGUUACCCGCGACUAGACGGAAAGACCCCAUGGAGCUUCACUGCAGGUUGAUAUUGGGAUUUGAUGCAGCAUGUACAGGAUAGGUAGGAGGCAAAGAGAUGGAUACGCCAGUAUUCAAGGAGCCGCUGUUGGGAUACUACCCCUGUUGUAUUGGAUUUCUAACCGGACGACGUAGAACCGUUGACGGGACAGUGUCAGUCGGGCAGUUUGACUGGGGCGGUCGCCUCCCAAAGAGUAACGGAGGCGCCCAAAGAUACCCUCAGCUUGGAUGGAAACCAAGCGCAGAGUGCAAAGGCAAAAGGGUGUUUGACUGCGAGACCCACAAGUCGAGCAGGGACGAAAGUCGGGCUUAGUGAUCCGGCGGUGCUGAAUGGAAAGGCCGUCGCUCAACGGAUAAAAGCUACCCUGGGGAUAACAGGCUGAUCUCCCCCAAGAGUCCACAUCGACGGGGAGGUUUGGCACCUCGAUGUCGGCUCAUCGCAUCCUGGGGCUGUAUUCGGUCCCAAGGGUUUGGCUGUUCGCCAAUUAAAGCGGUACGCGAGCUGGGUUCAGAACGUCGUGAGACAGUUCGGUCCCUAUCUGUCGUGGGCGCAGGAAAUUUGAGAAGAGCUGUCCUCAGUACGAGAGGACCGGGAUGGACGCAUCAAUGGUGGACCAGUUGUCACGCCAGUGGCAUAGCUGGGUAGCUAAAUGCGGAAGGGAUAAACGCUGAAGGCAUCUAAGUGUGAAACCCACUUCAAGAUGAGAUUUCCCAUUGCGCAAGCAAGUAAGACCCCUUAAAGACGAUAAGGUAGAUAGGUCAGGAGUGUAAGCAUGGUGACAUGUUAAGCGGACUGAUACUAAUAGGUCGAGGGCUUGACCGA
rnacentral:rRNA from 1 species